rnacentral:rRNA from 1 species
AGAGUUUGAUCAUGGCUCAGAUUGAACGCUGGCGGCAGGCCUAACACAUGCAAGUCGAACGGUAACAGGAAGAAGCUUGCUUCUUUGCUGACGAGUGGCGGACGGGUGAGUAAUGUCUGGGAAACUGCCUGAUGGAGGGGGAUAACUACUGGAAACGGUAGCUAAUACCGCAUAACGUCGCAAGACCAAAGAGGGGGACCUUCGGGCCUCUUGCCAUCGGAUGUGCCCAGAUGGGAUUAGCUUGUUGGUGGGGUAACGGCUCACCAAGGCGACGAUACAUAGGGGGACUGAGAGGUUAACCCCCCACACUGGUACUGAGACACGGACCAGACUCCUACGGGAGGCAGCAGUGAGGAAUAUUGGUCAAUGGACGCAAGUCUGAACCAGCCAUGCCGCGUGCAGGAUGACGGCUCUAUGAGUUGUAAACUGCUUUUGUACGAGGGUAAACGCAGAUACGUGUAUCUGUCUGAAAGUAUCGUACGAAUAAGGAUCGGCUAACUCCGUGCCAGCAGCCGCGGUAAUACGGAGGAUUCAAGCGUUAUCCGGAUUUAUUGGGUUUAAAGGGUGCGUAGGCGGUUUGAUAAGUUAGAGGUGAAAUUUCGGGGCUCAACCCUGAACGUGCCUCUAAUACUGUUGAGCUAGAGAGUAGUUGCGGUAGGCGGAAUGUAUGGUGUAGCGGUGAAAUGCUUAGAGAUCAUACAGAACACCGAUUGCGAAGGCAGCUUACCAAACUAUAUCUGACGUUGAGGCACGAAAGCGUGGGGAGCAAACAGGAUUAGAUACCCUGGUAGUCCACGCAGUAAACGAUGAUAACUCGUUGUCGGCGAUACACAGUCGGUGACUAAGCGAAAGCGAUAAGUUAUCCACCUGGGGAGUACGUUCGCAAGAAUGAAACUCAAAGGAAUUGACGGGGGCCCGCACAAGCGGAGGAACAUGUG